rnacentral:rRNA from 1 species
UAUACAACGAAGAGUUUGAUCCUGGCUCAGGAUGAACGCUAGCGAUAGGCCUAACACAUGCAAGUCGAGGGGCAGCACAUGAAGUAGCGAUACGGAUGGUGGCGACCGGCGCACGGGUGAGUAACACGUAUGCAACCUACCUUCAACAGGAGGAUAACCCGUUGAAAGACGGACUAAUACUCCAUGACACAGGGGUCCCGCAUGGGGAUAUUUGUUAAAGAUUAGUCGGUUGAAGAUGGGCAUGCGUUCCAUUAGCUUGUUGGCGGGGUAACGGCCCACCAAGGCAACGAUGGAUAGGGGAACUGAGAGGUUUAUCCCCCACACUGGAACUGAGACACGGUCCAGACUCCUA